rnacentral:lncRNA from 1 species
GCACGUGCCAUUCACGUGAUAUUUGGAGGGGUAAAUUUGUCUUUUUACUUUUAUUAUUGUCUACUUUAAUUUUUUCUUCUCUUUUCCAUUUUGGUCAUCUUCCCCAACUGGUCUUCUCUUCCCCAACUCACUCUGGUUCAAAUCCAUCUCCAAAGCCCUUUGUGCACCAAUUUCUAGGCAAAAUAAAAUUCAACAAUCAAAACUAAUCAUAAAUCAUCUCGACAUUUUCCCUAAACACACACCAAAUAUGUUAUUCUACAGCAAAUGGCUAAGAGUGUUCUUCAAAAAGAAUUUAAAAAACCCAUCUCAAAAGACAAUCCGUCUCCAAGGAGCUAUUAGGGCUAACGAGUGAAUUUUCGGACGGCAAAAAUGGGUCGAAAAAAUCAUCGAAUAAACCCACCACAACCUCUUCCAUCCCUACUCGUAUCUCCGCCUUCUACCACCACUUCCACGGCGGCGUAGGGAAGGAUUAACCAGGAACAUCCAAAGCAGCAAUAAGCUUUGCCGCCUCAUCCAAUUACAUCGAACACUGAGCAAGAACUCGACGACGCCGAUUUCAAUCGCCAAUUGGAGAGAAGCUCGUUGCCCGCCGACAAACUUUUCAACAACUACAAAAUCAAGCCAUUAAAGACACACCCAAUGUUUCACUACGAUCAAAACAAGCCCAAAAAAAUUACCGAAAUUCCCAAUUUUCAUCGGAGAAGCAUUCUCCCCGAAAUAAUUGGGCCAAAGAUUUCGACCUAUUUCUCACAGCCAUGGACCUGUAAAGGAAAACGUCAAGAAAACAGGUGGUGAUGGAAAGAGAGAAUAGCAGGAAUGGAGGCGGACGAAUCGGUGGCAGGGGAAGAAAGAUUUUCUGGCUGGGGAUGGGUUUGGGAGGAGUGCUGGGCCGACGGGAUGAAGAUAUGAUACUUUCUUUUUUGUUUUAUUUUUGUCUUUGUUUUAUUUUUGUUUUUUGUUUUUUGUUUUUUUUUUGUUUUUUAAUGAUUAAUUCAUAAUUAAUAUAUAGAAUAUAAGUGAAGGGACGAAUUUAUCCCUGCAAAUAUCACGUGCAACGCGCGUGUUUUAACAUUCCGAUCGAAAUUGCCGGAAACUUUAGUUUAGGGG